CAGUCAGAGGCGAUGAAGGGCGUGCUAAUCUGCGAUAAGCGCCGGUAAGGUGAUAUGAACCGUUAUAACCGGCGAUACCCGAAUGGGGAAACCCAGUGUGAUUCGUCACACUAUCAUUAACUGAAUCCAUAGGUUAAUGAGGCGAACCGGGGGAACUGAAACAUCUAAGUACCCCGAGGAAAAGAAAUCAACCGAGAUUCCCCCAGUAGCGGCGAGCGAACGGGGAGGAGCCCAGAGCCUGAAUCAGCAUGUGUGUUAGUGGAAGCGUCUGGAAAGGCGCGCGAUACAGGGUGACAGCCCCGUACACAAAAGCGCAUAUGCUGUGAGCUCGAUGAGUAGGGCGGGACACGUGGUAUCCUGUCUGAAUAUGGGGGGACCAUCCUCCAAGGCUAAAUACUCCUGACUGACCGAUAGUGAACCAGUACCGUGAGGGAAAGGCGAAAAGAACCCCGGCGAGGGGAGUGAAAAAGAACCUGAAACCGUGUACGUA
rnacentral:rRNA from 1 species